AGCUGUUUUGUUUUCAGCUGGCAGCAUGGAUGCACUCACACGGGAAGCGGUUCCUCUGACACGUGUGGUCACUGAGAGGUGGACCCUACGUUCGGCGGGCCCGCACCGCAGAUCAAAUGGAAGUUUAGGCUAUCGACUGCGCCCGUUGCGUGUCCCGUCUCCAUUCUCCCAAAAGCCCCUGGAAGUCCGUAACGGGAGUUUUUUUUUUUGAGACAAAUCCAAACGAGGGAGUGGAGAUGGGAGACGGCGGCGGUGGGCGGAAGGCGGCGCUGCUCCAGUGGUGCUCGUCGUCGCGGUGGGGCGUGAGCGGGCGGCGGCUGCUGAGUGGGGCGGGCGACGAGGCGUGGCGGGCGCACGCCGGGAUGGUCCUGGUCAUGCUCGCCUACAGCGGCUACCACGUCCUCACCAAGUCCGUCCUCAACGUCGGCAUGAACCAGGUCGUCUUCUGCGUCUACCGCGACCUGCUCGCGCUCGCCGUCCUCGCCCCCGUCGCCUUCCUCCGCGAGAGAAGGGUGAGGCCUCCCGUGACCCCCCAGUUACUCGCCUCCUUUGCUCUUCUUGGCUUCACAGGGCUCUAUGGGAACCCCCUCCUUUUCCUCGUCGGCCUCCGCUACACGAAUGCUUCCUACGCUGCGGCUUUCCAGCCCUCCAUACCAGUGUUCACAUUUGUCUUGGCUGCAAUUGUCGGCGUUGAAGCAAUCCACAUCUUCACGAAAGAUGGCAUCCUCAAAGUUCUUGGUACAGUUGUAUGUGUCUCUGGUGCCAUUCUGAUGGCUUUGUAUAGAGGUCCAGCCUUGAUUGGCUUGGGAGGCAACAGUACAUCGGGCACAUGCAGCAGCAAUCCCUAUCCAGCCCACUGGUUGACAUCAACCAUGUUUGAGUAUGGUGUAGAAACAUGGCAUCUUGGUGUCUUGUGUCUUUUAGGAAACUGCCUCUUGGUGGCUGCUUAUCUAAUCAUACAGGCUCCCGUGAUGAUAAGAUAUCCUGCAAGCUUAUCCUUGACAGCAUAUUCCUAUUUCUUUGCCACCAUCUUUAUGGUGUUAACUGGAGUACUUGUAACCAAUGGGCUCCAUGAGUGGGCACUGACAAAAACAGAGAUCGUAGCUGUUCUAUAUGCUGGAAUUGUUGCAUCUUGUCUGAGCUACGCAAUUAUGACAUGGGCAAACAAAAUUCUUGGACCUUCUCUAGUUGCUCUCUAUAAUCCACUCCAACCAGCAUGUUCCACUAUCCUCUCAACUAUUUUUCUUGGUGCCCCAGUUUAUGUCGGAAGGUUUGAUUCAACAAACUGCCAUAUAUAAUUUUGCCAAAAUAUGCUGUUAUUAUGUUAUUUUUCAAAUCUUUGUUCCUUGGAACCGGUAGCUCUUGCAUAUAUGUUUUUUAGUUGUAGCAUGAUAGUCUUUCAAGAGAAAUGAAGACAUUUGUGGGGCGUGGUGAAACAUGAUAGUGUAUUAUUGGGGGGCUGUUCAUAAUUGCUGGUCUAUACAUGGUUACUUGGGCUCGCUACAAUGAAGCACAACGAGCUAUGACCAAUGGUUAUUUGGACCCUCUUCUCGUGGGUCCUCUAGGAGUCCCCACGACACAGGAAGGUUCCUUCAUUGAUCCUUAAAUUUCAAUGGGGUAGAAUGGUGCCUCAAUUGUUUUCUCCAGGACAACAACAGAAGUCACAUGUACAGAUUUAUCUUGAAAGAUACGUUUGUAGUCUCAUAUACUCCCGUCCAAGAAUGGAAUUGUUGCAUCUUGUCUAAGCUACUCAAUUAUGACAUGGGCGAACAAAAUACUUGGACCUUCUCUAGUUGCUCUCCAUAAUCCGCUGCAACCAGCAUUUUCCACUAUCCUCUCAACUAUUUUUCUUGGUGACCCAGUUUAUGUCGGAAGGUUUGAUUCAAAACACUGACAUGUCUAAUUUGCCAAAAUUUGCUGUUCAAACAUUGUUAUGUGGUUAUUUGAAAAUUUUGGCAUGCAUGAUUUUUUUAGUUGUUGCACGAUACUCUUUCAAGUUUCAAGUGAUGUAAUCAUGUAACAACAUAUAUGGUGUCAGAGGAUCCCUCACCAGAUAAUCACCUACCUUAGGGCAUCCCUAGGUAAGCCGACGGUAAAAAUACCAACAGAUGGCGCC